UUUGGUUAAAAAAAAAAACUUGAGAUUUUAUGCUUUUGAUCUUGAGAUCUGAAACACAACAAACUUGAAUGAUCGAUUCGUGUUUUUUUGGAUUCUCUUAAAAUUUGGGUGGGCAAAAAACAUCAUAUUGAUUCCUUCUAAUUUGAUUCACUUUCUCUCGAGAACAAAGUUUUAGAUCUAGUUUUUAUUUUGUCUGAGUUAUCGUCCGACCAGCAACAACAAAAAUGAGCAAUCUUUCACUCCCGUCAGCGCAGCGGUGGGUUUAUGACAAGCAACGCGGCAGUGACGCAUCCACGGUGGCUGGGACGUGUGUUGCAGAGCGGCGGUUCUCUGGAGUCGACUUGGAGGCGGACCCGUAUACCAAUUACCACGAUUAACUGAUAUUGCUUGCUUUAUAAACUCGGAAUCUAUGGCGGUUUCUAACGCCUUUGCUGUUACCACAAAGCUGGAAUAUUUGUUAUCGAAUCAACUUAACCCAUCAUCAUCAUCUUCUUCUUCUCCGGCGCCGUUUGGUGUAAUCGGGAUUCAUGAUCUUCCCAUGAACAAUAAUAGGAACAAGCGAGGUCUAAUCCAGAGAGCCCGUUGCGAGAUUUCCACUUCUAAAUCAACCAGCGUCUCUGCUCUAGAACUGCUCAAGUCUUCUGCUAUUGACCAUACGUUAUCUCUCUCUCUUUAAAUCCCAAAUUUGGAGUUUUUUUUUUUCUUUUCUUUGGCUGCCAAUUUCUAAAUUUUGAUGGGAUUUGAUAAGCUAUUCAACAUUUUGCCGCUUUGGAGGAGAUUGAAUUGUAUACUUCUUUGAAGCUAAAAAGUGUCAGUUUUUACUGAACUCCGAUUGUUUUCAUAGUUUUCAGGAUACACAAAGGAAAGAAGUAGUUCUCAUUCAAGCUUUUUAGCAAGAUUCUCAGUCAAGUAUACAUGGCUAAAGAGAUCAAAACUGGUGAAAUUGUGGCUCUCAAAAAGAUUUGUAUGGACGGUGAUGUGUUAUCUUGAUUGGUUGGGCAGAAAGAAGGCAAAUCUGGGUGUCUCGUGUUCUUCUUUCCCUCAAAUUCACCUCUUCAAAAUCUCUACUCCACUGCGUGUUCGAAGAUCCGUCGUCUCGAGCCGUAAAAAUUCAGGAACUGGUUUAGCAAGCGAGGAUUAGAAAUUGUUGCUGGAACAAUAUGGUUAUGACGCCAAUGAUGACUUUGGGUCUCAAUCUAAGAAGGCGAGGAGGAAAGAAGAGAAAAUGAGUGGAAGGAACAGCCAUCAAGUAGAAGAAGUUGUUGUAGUACAGACAAGAACAACUCAUAGGUUACUUCAGGUUCUUGCAGGAACUUUCUCUUAAGGGAAUGGAUGUGAGACCUAUGACGGAAGUUGUUAAAGGAGCAGCUUUUGGGAUUCUCCAGGCUGCUGGCGGUUGUCCCACGUCUCUGCGUCCUGGUAAGUGGUUGGAUUUUUACAGUGGUAUGUAGGAAUUGAAGCAAUCAGUCGAGGAUGUUCUGAGGCGCACUUUGUUGAGAUGGAUCCUUGGGUUGUUUCGAAUGUUCUACAACCAAACUUGGAACACACUGGGUUUGUUGAUGCUUCGGUUAUACAC